rnacentral:lncRNA from 1 species
GGGGAGGCAGGACCGGAGCCCUGAGGACCUGGCCGGCCUCGGGGUUGAGGCUCAGCUCGGGAUAAGUGAUCUUUGGGGCCCGCAGAGGACGUCUCCCCAAGACCCAGUGGCAACCGGGGCACCACUGAGUUCAGUACUUCAAAAUUGCCGUGCUCUACCUCUCCCCAGUGCACAGAAACACUCUCCACACCAAGCUGCUGCUGCUGGGGGAUGGAGGGAUGGCGUCAGCGAUUCAAGACUGUUUUUCCUACCUGUUCAGCACUUCUUUCAGCGAUAUGAAGUUAAAUCCAGAUGUCGUCAUCAUCCACUUGUGCAAACAAGAGCCCAAGGAUCAUCCUAGAUUCCUUCUCACUUCCUCUCAAUCCAUCCCUGAAACAGCCAAACCACCAAGCAGCAAGAGGGAUCUUAUAAAAAUAUGACCAGAUCACAUCCUUCAACACUUCCCUGUUACCCUUACAAUAAAAUUCAAACUCUUCACCAUGACCUCCAAGGCUCCUAUUGAAUCCGGCUCUUGUCUGCCUCUUCAGUAACAUCAUGGACCACUCCUUACCAUUCCCUCCAUCUGGCUGUGCUUCCUGCAUCUCUUCCAAUGGCUGGCUUGUUCUCACCUUUGAAGUCUCAGCUCAAAGGACACUCCCUUGGGCUCUCCCUCAUCACCCUAACUAAUAGGUCACUUAAUAUUGUUAUUAUUUUUUAGAGACAAAGUCUCACUAUGUCACCCAGGCUUGCCUCAAACUCCUGGGCUCAAGCAAUUCUCCCACCUUGGCCUCUCAAAGUUCUAGGAUUACAGGCGUGAGCCACUAUGCCUGGCUAUGUCACUUAUUAUUCUUUAUUAUCUUCUAUAUAUAAAUGAUCCCAAUCCAUAAUUAUUUGAUUUAUUGAUUGGUUUACUUGCUUAAUAUCCAACUCCCAUACUAGAAUAUAAAUGUUAUAGAACAAGAGAUUGUCUGUACCAUCCACUGUUCUAGUCUCAUUACCCCACAUAAGGCCUGGCAUGGAGUGUGCACCUAAUAAAUGUUUGAAUAAAUAUUGACUGGAUCAGGGA